rnacentral:rRNA from 1 species
UACGUAGGCAGCGAGCGUUGUUCGGAGUUACUGGGCGUAAAGGGUGUGUAGGCGGUUUCUUAAGUUUGGUGUGAAAUCUCCCGGCUUAACCGGGAGGGUGCGCCGAAUACUGAGGGACUCGAGUGCGGGAGGGGAGAGUGGAAUUCCUGGUGUAGCGGUGAAAUGCGUAGAUAUCAGGAGGAACACCGGUGGUGUAGACGGCUUACUGGACCAUAACUGACGCUGAGACACGAAAGCGUGGGUAGCAAACAGG